rnacentral:rRNA from 1 species
GUGCUUCUGAUUUGCUUAUUGCACCACAUGUGUUUUUCUUUGAAACAAACUUGCUUUGGCGGUGGGCCCAGCCUGCCGCCAGAGGUCUAAACUUACAACCAAUUUUUUAUCAACUUGUCACACCAGAUUAUUACUAAUAGUCAAAACUUUCAACAACGGAUCUCUUGGUUCUCGCAUCGAUGAAGAACGCAGCGAAAUGCGAUACGUAAUAUGAAUUGCAGAUAUUCGUGAAUCAUCGAAUCUUUGAACGCACAUUGCGCCCUCUGGUAUUCCGGAGGGCAUGCCUGUUUGAGCGUCGUUUCUCCCUCAAACCGCUGGGUUUGGUGUUGAGCAAUACGACUUGGGUUUGCUUGAAAGACGGUAGUGGUAAGGCGGGAUCGCUUUGACAAUGGCUUAGGUCUAACCAAAAACAUUGCUUGCGGCGGUAACGUCCACCACGUAUAUCUUCAAACUUUGACCUCAAAUCAGGUAGGACUACCCGCUGAACUUAAGCAUAUCAAAAACCGGGAGGAA